GCAUUUGGGAUAGCUCUGUCGGUAGAGCAUGGGACUUGCAAUCUCAGGGUUGUGGGUUCAAGCCCCACGUAGGGCA